rnacentral:rRNA from 1 species
UACGUAGGGGGCGAGCGUUGUCCGGAGUUAUUGGGCGUAAAGGGCAUGCAGGCGGUCAGACGCGUUUUGUGUGACAGCGGAGGGCUUCACUCUCCGAGCAUACGAAAGACGGUGUGACUUGAGGGCUCGAGAGGGACACGGAAUUCCGGGUGGAGUGGUGAAAUGCGUAGAGAUCCGGAGGAACACCGAAGGCGAAGGCAGUGGCCUGGCGAGUAGCCUGACGCUGAGGUGCGAAAGCCAGGGGAGCGAACGGG